GCGGCCAUGGCACAAUCCGGUACUGCGGCGGUCUUGAAAACCGCUUUCCGAAAGGAUAUCCCGGUUCAAAUCCGGGUGGCCGCG
rnacentral:tRNA from 1 species